GGGGACAGCUCAGUGGUAGAGCGCAUGCUUAGUAAGCUCAAGGCCCUGGGUUCAAUCCCCAGUGCCUCCA
rnacentral:tRNA from 1 species